rnacentral:rRNA from 1 species
UAAAACCAGCUCUUCGAGUGGUGUCCAUGAUUAUUGGGCUUAAAGCGUCCGUAGCCGGCCUGGCAAGUCUUCCGUUAAAUCCGGCAACCUAAUUGUUGGGCUGCGGGGGAUACUGUUAGGCUUGGGGGCGGGAGAGGCCGACGGUAUUCUCGGGGUAGGGGUGAAAUCUUAUAAUCCCGAGAGGACCACCAGUGGCGAAGGCUGUCGGCUAGCACGCGCCUGACGGUGAGGGACGAAAGCUGGGGGAGCGAACCGGAUUAGAUACCCGGGUAGUCCCUGCUGUAAACGAUGCGAGCUAGGUGUUGGGGCGGCUACGAGCCGCUUCAGUGCCGCAGCGAAGGCGUUAAGCUCGCCGCCUGGGGAGUACGGCCGCAAGGCUG